UAUAUUUACGCCAAUUGAGGGCUUAAUAAUCUCAAUCACCAAUUUUAAGACUUUGGGUGGAGAACUUUAUCAGUUGCGAUUCCUAUUAGAUUUUGUUUUUGUGCAUCACAGGCUAGCAGACUGUCACUUUCCCCAGACAUUAUCAAUUUAACUUGGAAUAAUUCUGUGCAAAAACAAAAUCUCCAUUCAAAAUUAGCUCAGAGUAGGGGGGUGUAUUUAUAUAUAUAUAUAUAUAUAUAUAUUUUAUUUUUUUUUAUUUUUACUUGUCACGGGUUUACAGUCCAAUAGGAGUCUGAAAGUAAAACGUUUGUUCAGAGUGGUAGAGGAAACAAGGGUUUAAAAACGCAAACAGGUUUCAGGCUUAUCACAGGACAACAUUUCACAUUAAGUCUUGGUAUCACUUUAUUUUCUCUGAUCAUUUAAUCCACAUUUUUACUGCCUAAAACCAGGAUCAUGAACAUUUUCACAGUCAUUAAGUCAAUGCUGGUCUACGCUUUUCUGUAGAAACACGAGGGAGCCAGACAAAACCCAUACAAACAAAUGGAAGCAGAACUUGGGACCAUGGUCCACAUGGCAACUGAUGGUGUUUUGUAUUUCUUAAAUAUAGACUGUGGUUUAAAGACAUGACAGUUUCAGAUUGCAAUGAGAUUGUAGUGGGUUCCGAUUAGCUCAGAUCAGCAACACCAACAGUACCAAGGAAGAGUUGAGACGAUAUUGAUCUCAGUCAGGUUCCUGAAGGAACAGUUUUGCACAUCGGCAGUGAGGUUUCUGUUGCUUAGUCAAUAACUACUGUAUGUACCGUGUGGACGAUUGUGAAUGGAAUUCCAGAAAAAGUGCAUAUGCGUGAAAGUCAUAUGCACAAAAGCUGAUGUUUUUGCUGGUCUCACCUAUGGCUUCUGGCAACAUGAAAAUGGGAAUAAUCACUGAAUGUAUACAGCAGCUUAUAAUUAAACUAUUAAAU